rnacentral:rRNA from 1 species
UACGUAGGGGGCAAGCGUUGUCCGGAAUCAUUGGGCGUAAAGAGCGUGUAGGCGGUCCGGUAAGUCAGCUGUGAAAGUCAAGGGCUCAACCCUUGAAUGCCGGUUGAUACUGUCGGGCUAGAGUCCGGAAGAGGCGAGUGGAAUUCCCGGUGUAGCGGUGAAAUGCGCAGAUAUCAGGAGGAACACCAAUGGCGAAGGCAGCUCGCUGGGACGGUACUGACGCUGAGACGCGAAAGCGUGGGGAGCAAACAGG